AACACGUGGGUAACCUGCCUGUAAGACUGGGAUAACUCCGGGAAACCGGGGCUAAUACCGGAUGGUUGUUUGAACCGCAUGGUUCAGACAUAAAAGGUGGCUUCGGCUACCACUUACAGAUGGACCCGCGGCGCAUUAGCUAGUUGGUGAGGUAACGGCUCACCAAGGCGACGAUGCGUAGCCGACCUGAGAGGGUGAUCGGCCACACUGGGACUGAGACACGGCCCAGACUCCUACGGGAGGCAGCAGUAGGGAAUCUUCCGCAAUGGACGAAAGUCUGACGGAGCAACGCCGCGUGAGUGAUGAAGGUUUUCGGAUCGUAAAGCUCUGUUGUUAGGGAAGAACAAGUGCCGUUCAAAUAGGGCGGCACCUUGACGGUACCUAACCAGAAAGCCACGGCUAACUACGUGCCAGCAGCCGCGGUAAUACGUAGGUGGCAAGCGUUGUCCGGAAUUAUUGGGCGUAAAGGGCUCGCAGGCGGUUUCUUAAGUCUGAUGUGAAAGCCCCCGGCUCAACCGGGGAGGGUCAUUGGAAACUGGGGAACUUGAGUGCAGAAGAGGAGAGUGGAAUUCCACGUGUAGCGGUGAAAUGCGUAGAGAUGUGGAGGAACACCAGUGGCGAAGGCGACUCUCUGGUCUGUAACUGACGCUGAGGAGCGAAAGCGUGGGGAGCGAACAGGAUUAGAUACCCUGG
rnacentral:rRNA from 2 species